rnacentral:rRNA from 1 species
CAGCCGCCGCGGUAAGACAGAGGAUGCAAGCGUUGUCCGGAAUUAUUGGGCGUAAAGGGCUCGCAGGCGGUUUCUUAAGUCUGAUGUGAAAGCCCCCGGCUCAACCGGGGAGGGUCAUUGGAAACUGGAAACUUGAGUGCAGAAGAGGAGAGUGGAAUUCCACGUGUAGCGGUGAAAUGCGUAGAGAUGUGGAGGAACACCAGUGGCGAAGCCGACUCUCUGGUCUGUAACUGACGCUGAGGAGCGAAAGCGUGGGGAGCGAACAGGAUUAGAUACCCCCGUAGUCCCUGUCUCUUAUACA